rnacentral:rRNA from 1 species
AUGGCUACAAAAAACUCUGCUGUCUUCCUCCUCGGGCUUCUUCUCUCUUGCGUUGCCAUGAGCAGCGCGGCGAGAAUCCUAGAAGAGACCGUUCCUUCCAAGGAGGAGCACCAGCCCGAGGUGCCACCGCUUCCCAAGGUAGAACUGCCACCGUUCCCGGAAGUGCACCUGCCACCUAAGCCUGAACUUCCCAAGGUGGAGCUGCCGCCGCUCCCCAAAGUGCACUUGCCAUCUAAGCCUGAGUUGCCCAAGGUGGAGCUGCCACCUAAGCCGGAGCUGCCCAAGGUGGAGCUGCCAACGUUUCCGGAGGUUCACCUGCCACCCAAGCCGGAGAUGCCCACUGUUCCCGGGUUCCACCUCCCGGAGCCGGAGCUGCCGCCGAAACCCAAGAUGCCCACUGUUCCCGGGUUCCACCUCCCUGAGCUAGAGGCCAAUCCAUGA